rnacentral:rRNA from 1 species
UACGUAGGGUGCAAGCGUUAAUCGGAAUUACUGGGCGUAAAGCGUGCGUAGGCGGUUUUGUAAGUCUGUCGUGAAAUCCCCGGGCUUAACCUGGGAAUGGCGAUGGAGACUGCAAGGCUGGAAUCUGGCAGAGGGGGGUAGAAUUCCACGUGUAGCAGUGAAAUGCGUAGAGAUGUGGAGGAACACCGAUGGCGAAGGCAGCCCCCUGGGCUAAGAUUGACGCUCAUGCACGAAAGCGUGGGGAGCAAACAGG